AUAGUCUAAUUUUGAGAAGUUAGUUUAAUUUUUGGGUGAUGGAGAGAAAAUAUUAGGCUAUGAAAGAACAUGGUACUAUAAUAUUUUGAGAAGUUAGUUUAGUUAUUAGGUGAUGGAGAGAAAAUAUUAGGCUAUGAGAGGACAUGGUACUUUAAUAUUAGAGGUUAGUUUAGAUAAUAGCUGAUUGAGAGGAAAUAUUAGGCUAUGAAAGAACACGGUACUCUAAUUUUGAGGUUAGUUUGGUUAUUAGGUGAUGGAGAGAAAAUAUUAGGCUAUGAAAGAACAUGGUACUCUAAUUUUUGUGAAGUUAGUUUAGUUAUUAGGUGAUGGUGAGAAAAUAUUAGGCUAUGAGAGGACAUGGUACUUUAAUAUUAGAGGUUAGUUUAGAUGAAAUAGCUGAUUGAGAGGAAAUAUUAGGCUAUGAAAGAACAUGGUACUCUGAUUUUGAGGUUAGUUUAGUAAGAGGAAAUAUUAGGCUAUGAAAGAACACGGUACUCUAAUUUUGAGGUUAGUUUAGUUAUUAGGUGAUGGAGAGAAAAUUUUAGGCUACUCUUUGCUUUUAUCUUUUGUGGGACGGGGAGUAGCGGGCUUUUUUUU